rnacentral:lncRNA from 1 species
GUGCGAGGCGCCGCGCCAGGGUCUCAGGAUGCUUUUUACCCAACAAGGGCCAAGCAGGCGCGGGUGUCCCAGGAGCUGAAGAAGGCUGCCAAGCGGACCGUGAGCAUCAGCGAGGGCCCGGACACCCUAGGCGAUGGGAUGAGGGAGAGAAGGGAGACUCUGGCUCUGGCCCCUGAGCCAGAGCCCCUGGAGAAGGAAGCUUGUGAGAAGUGGAAGAGGCCCUUCAGGUGAGGACCCAGGUGACAGUCUCAGAGCUCUGAGCUGAGCCCCACCCCAGAGGCUGCCAGGGUCUUCCUCUUGGACCUUGGAGCCAGCUCUUGGGUUGGGAGGGGGCUUGAGGAGAGGCCAGAAAGCUCAGAUCUCCCAGGGCUAGUCUGACCUCCAUUGUCUGGAGCCACUUGGGGUCAGUUCCAUCUCACCCCCCCAACCCCUACCCUCAACCCUUUCCCUCCUUCUUGGGAUCAGAGCUCUGGGGGUGGGGAGUCAGGCUUCUGAAUAGCUGUCACCAGGAGAGAACCUGUGGGCAAAGCCCAGAGCCCAGUCAUGCCAGGC